rnacentral:ncRNA from 1 species
AUAGGGGUGCGCACAAAUGCUUGAUUGCGAGGAUGCUUGAUGCAUAGUGUGCUGAGAACAUACCCUUUAAACUUGAUCCGGAUAAUGCCGGCGUAAGGAAUGAAAUU